rnacentral:rRNA from 1 species
GACGAACGCUGGCGGCGUGCUUAACACAUGCAAGUCGAACGGAAAGGCCCCUUCGGGGGUACUCGAGUGGCGAACGGGUGAGUAACACGUGAGUAACCUGCCCUUGACUUCGGGAUAACUUCAGGAAACUGGGGCUAAUACCGGAUAGGAAUCCUUGCUGCAUGGUGGGGGUUGGAAAGCUUCGGCGGUUUUGGAUGGACUCGCGGCUUAUCAGCUUGUUGGUGGGGUAGUGGCUUACCAAGGCUUUGACGGGUAGCCGGCCUGAGAGGGCGACCGGCCACAUUGGGACUGAGAUACGGCCCAGACUCCCACGGGAGGCAGCAGUGGGGAAUAUUGCACAAUGGGCGGAAGCCUGAUGCAGCAAAGCCGCGGGCGGGAUGACGGCCUUCGGGUUGGAAACCGCUUUCAGCAGGGGCGAAGCUUGUGGUGACGGUACCUGCAGAAGAAGCACCGGCUAACUACGUG